AACCCCUAGCUCCCUCUCGAGGGCCCUGCAAUGUGCAGCCACGUGGGUCCAGAGGCAAGGGGGUGACGUCAGGCUGUGGGUCUUACUCCUUGCAGCCUGCGGGGGCGUCCUGAGCUGCAGUGCCAGGCUCUGCUCCUCCGGCCAGCAGCUUAGCCACUCCCAGGGUGCUACUAGCUUGUAGCCGGGCUUGUCUUGCCUGCUGCUGCCCAGAGUCAAGUUCUACCACUUGAGUGAGACAGGAGUGUUUCCACAUCCAUGUAUGGCCUGGCACCUGGCAGGCAUGUUGGACAAGCGAAUGGGUGUCCAACCCUGGGGAGGAUGUGGUCAUGUAACGGUCGGUGAGUGCCUGCAACCUGGAAUGGACAUCCUCUGGGCUGGGACCGUCUCAUGACAAGGUGGGUCGGGGCUCUGCCUGACCAGCUGGGGCCAGGGCUUGGUGCUCAGUCAUGCCUUGGAAUUCGCCACGGCCCUGAACACAUCUACUUCUCUUCCCAUGAUCCCAGGGCUGAGGUCUGCAUGUGUGUGCCCCCGUUCCUACGCUGAGCCCAAACUACCAAGGGAUGGUACCGGGAAGUGUGUGUUCUGGCAGAGACCUGGAAGGGUAUCCGUGUCCCUGCAAAGGCCAGCUCAGGGAGCUGCCUGCCUCUUCAACCAUGAGAAGCCUCAGUGAGCAGGCGCCCCUGUGGGCCAGGGAAUGGGCCUCACCAGGCACCAAAUCUGCCAGGGCACCAAUUUGGAACUUCCCAGCCUCCAGAAUUGUAAGAAAUCAACUUCUUUUGUAAAUCACUGUUGAUUUGCCGCCCAAUCUCUGGUCAUUUGUUAUAGCAUCUCAGACUGACGAAGACAAGGACUUCAGACCCCCCCAGCUCCUUCCCGUGGCCGUGGCCUCUCUUCCUGGCCCAGCCUCUCCCGUGGCCGUGGCCCCUCUUCCUGCCCCAGUCUCUCCCGUGGCCGUGGCCCCUCUUCCUGCCCCAGUCUCUCCCGUGGCCGUGGCCCCUCUUCCUGCCCCAGUCUCUCCCGUGGCCAUAGCCUCUCUUCCUGCCCCAGUUCCUCCCAUGAACGUGGCCUCUCUUUCUGCCCCAGCCUCUCCUGUGGCCGUGGCCUCUGUUCCUGCCCUAGCCUCUUCCAUGACGUGGCCUCUCUUCCUGCCCCAGUCUCUCCCGUGGCCAUGGCCUCUGCUCCUGCCCCAGCCUCUCCCAUGCCACGGCCUCUCUUCCUCUCCAUGACCAUGACCUUGGCUCUCCAGACCUCCUUCUUUGGCUGUGGCUGCCGAUGCCUGAGCUGAUUGCUAUAGCCUUGAAUGUGUCCCCAUCUGCUCCUGGGCUAUGACCAUUGCCAAGGCCCAGCUUGACCUACGCCUUGGUUGUGGGUAGGCCUGACUAUGUCAGCGCCCUGCUCACACUUCAGUGCCUCUGCAGGUGACACAGACUCCAAGACGUCCCCCACUCCCAGGCAAGGUGGCCAAAACCCAGCUCAGAAAUAGAAAUCUGAUCAAACUGCUCUUCCUGGGUAAAAAGCCUCAGCACCAAUAAGCAAGGGUGCUGCUGGCCGCUAGGCAUGGGCUCUGGGGUGCUGACCCACAGGCACUCAGGAAGGCCUGGCUUCUCGAGAUCUGGCAGCACCCAGGCCCAUCACAGUGGCUCUCCCUGAGCCACUGUGAUGGGCCUGGGUGCUGGAGGGUGUCCUGCCACCAGAAGGGCGGUGAGCCCAGCCCAGGGCUUGCAUCUGAGGGUGGGCAUGGAGGGGCAGGUGGCCUACAGCCUUACCUCCGGUGCACGAUGUAGGUGACUGCAGAGGCGAGAAGGCAGAGCAGCAUGACGGCAGUGCAGGCAUACACCACGGGGUGCAGGAACUCCCCUGGGAACCGGGGCAGGGAGAGGACAGUCUUCAAAUCCUGGAGAGGAAGCAGAGGAGACCCAUGUGACCGAGGCCCGGCGUGGGCGAGCGGCUGGUCACGAGUCGGCCUCCCAUGCCUACGGCUCAGGCAUCGGGCUGACCCCCAGCAUGUCUGCUAGGGGUCCAUGGUAGCUGAGAAGACCCUGCCCCGAGGCUCAUGAAAGAGUUCUCUAGCUGCCGGCUGCCCACGGCUAGAUCUUUGUCUCCCCAGCUCUGCUGGGCCGCGGCAUCCUAUGUCUUUGACAGCGGCUCCCAGAGGGUGGCAUUUCUCCAGAGCCAAUGCCUGCCUCCUGUUCUGUCCAAGGUGACUGGCAAAGGCAAAGUGUGACAGCCCAGACACGGGGCGUCCCCCAGAAGCUCAGAAUGUUCAGAGAGGUCUGACCUAAUCCACUGAGGCAGACCAGCUGGGGGUGAACACAGCAGGUGGGUUGUGUCUGGAGGAAGUGGGCCCCUGGGGCGCGUGUUUGGGGUUUAUAUUUUGUCUCUGCUUCCUGCUGCCAUGCCCUGAGCUGCUCUCCUUGGCCUCGCCCUUCUGAUACGAUGUUCUGCCUCACUGGGGCCCAGAGCCGUGGAGUCGGCCAACCUGGACAGAACCUCUGAAACCCUGAGCCCAGAUAAAUGCUUCCUCCUCUGCAUUGUUCUCUUUGGUCAUAGCGAUGCAGAACUGAGUGACACAGGCAUGGUGCUGGCCUCCACAGCAUGCGUCUCCUGGCAGACGCCCACUGUGUCUCAGUGGGCCUUACAGAGAGGCUACCCCAACCCACCCCUGGACUCACACCCACCAACGCUCUGUUCUUAGCCAUCAGGAGUUGGGUGCACGUGUCCAUAGGUCUGUGUAGUGUCCACCCCAAGUACAUGGAGGAAGAAAUGUUCCUGUGGACAAAUACACAGGGGACCGCGGCCCUGGCUCAUCUGGUGUCCCUGACUCUACUAUGCAUGGCCACAGAGCCCAGGGCUCACGGUGCAGUUCCCAGGCGAGCGGGACGUGCCUGUGCUGGAGUAGAACUGACCAUCCUGGUAGAAAUAUCUGGAGCUGAUGGAGGUUUCGUUCUCCUUGGCCCCCAUGUGGCAUCCUGUUCUGGGCAAGUCUCAAGGCAUCUCUGGGGGCUACACGCUGGCCGGGUGGCAGCUGCCCCUGGUGCUCACUGUCCUGGCCCCUGCCUCCCAGACGGUGGCGUGGGCAGUGCAGGCGUCUGUGGAGGCACAGGUGUAGAUGGGGCAGAACAUCCAUGACUCUGGGGGCUCAGGCUGUAGAACUCUUGGCUCCGUGCAGCUGUCGUCCUGCCAGAUGGCAAGCUCAUGAGAUUGCCUGGACACUCCGGCCUCAGGACAGAGCCACUGUGGCCUGCACCAUCUCCACUGGAGACCUCAAGGCUCACCUGCUCCUGACUGACCAAGAAAGGGGGGUCAGCCCCAUCCUGGCCUUCACGUACCCUCACGCCACACUCUGCCUGAGUGGGUCUGGCACUUGCUGGGUGUGGGUGUUGGAGGAGGUAAGUGGUUGGAGGAGCAGUGGGACCGGCUGUUUCCCCAGGCAGAGUUUGUAGCUGGUUCUCUCUUCCUGGACACUGAUCAGGCUCAGCCCUGAGAUUGGUCUGGGUACUUGGCCCUGAGGGUGGGAAAGGGAAGGCUGGCUGGAGACUCCUGGCCUCCCCGUCCCCUCUGAGGAGAGCAGAGGUGGAAGGGCCACCUGGGUCUUCUGAUUCCCUGGGCCCAAGGGUCAGCAACCUCCUGUAGUUCAGAGGGCUGCGGGCCCGGUCGGAUCCGUGGAGAGCGGCCUCCUCUGGGAAGCCCACACAUCUCUUGGUGCCCAGCCUCUGAGCUGGCUGUGGGUGAUGGGGACGCUCCUGCCGUCGUGGGAAGACCAAGGCUGUCCUCCUACUUCCUGUGGAGCCGGCUCCGUCCUGGAGACACCCUCUUGUCUGAUGAGUUCCCUGCUGAGAGGGGCUGCCCCUGAGGGCUGGGGAACAAGAGCUCCACUUGGGCACCAGGGCGGCGGGCUCUUCCCUCCCGUGACAGGCCCUGGGCCGCUGCGGCUGGCUUCACACCCAGGUCUGGGGGCUCUUGGUCCUCCACGGCCUUCCCCAGGGGCCACUGUCACUGCAGUGGGACGUGUGGUGGCCAGCCUGCCUGCGGGUUUCAGACCCCUGCUCGGCUGUGUGGGGGGAGGGAACAGUCACAGCAGGCAGAGGGCUCAUUUUGGCAUCUGAAGCAGCGUGCCUCCUGUCCCUUUCCUGUCCCCUCACUUCUGUCCCCAGGGCCCAUGGGACACUUGCAUUUGAACACACCUCAUCUGUGGUUUCAGGUCACAUGGCCAUGGCAGGCCACGUUAGAAGUUGGACAGGCUGACCUCUCAGUGAGCCAGCGCAGGACCUGGAGGUGUUGGUAGAAACUUCAACCAGGCUGGGGCCUGCAGCCUGGAGGCCACCCUGCCUGGGGUGGGGGCCGACCUCUCACCUGGGGACCCAGCGGGUGAGGCAUAGCACAGGAGCGGCCCCCGGGCCCCAGGAUGUCACCUUGGGCUUCCACUACAGGCAGCUCACUGGGGUCAACAGUGAAUUUCCUAAGGAACUAGGAUUUGAUUUGGUUUCCUGUGUUUUUCUUUCUCCAAAUUAGUUACAGCAGUGCCUUUCUACAUGUUUAGAGUUGGCAUUUAAAAUUCAAAGUAGCUAAUGCAAAAUAGAGUAACAUUUUAUUUUUCAAAGUUCACACAUGGGCAAGUUCCUCUUGGAAGAGUUUACCGUGCAAAUGUUCUUUGGGCACAACCAUGAAGCCGAUCCCACGUGCGUUGGAAUCUGCGCGGCUUAGGUGCCUAAGUCCUCUGAUGCCAGGAAGCUGGAGCCCUCUUGGUGCAGUGACGGUCAGAGACUGGGGGACAGCGGGAGAGCCUCUGGGCCGGGAGGGGAGGGACCAAGGCCCCCAGCCUUCUCGGCCCUGACGAGAGGCCUGGAAAGUCUGCUGGUUUCUGUGCCUGAGGAGGGCAGGCUGCUUCAGAGGCCACCGAGGAGGUGCCUCUGUUCCCUGGGAAACACAGAGUCCCCUGGCCCAGUGUGCUGCCUGCCUGACAGUCUCAGGGACGUGCCCGCCCCACCGUGAGCAGAUUGUACCCCUUUCUCAACCCCUUCCAGCUCCUCUUAUGUAGGUGGACACAGCCUUUUUGGUGUGUUCUGUGUUGGACGGCGCAGGGUGUUGAGGAAGGCAGGAAGAAGGGCGAGGACGGGAGAAGACCUCAGUCAGGCACCUGCAAUCCUCUGCUCCAACUGCACCCUCUUGGUGACCGGUGGGGAAGUGGGCACCACACCUGGGGACAAGGCCCCUCUCCAGGCACCUCCUGUGCAGCGAGCACCAAGGCCAGGCCUUCUGUCAGCUUCCUGUCCUCUUCCACCCUUUCCUCUUCCUCUUCCUAGCUUUUCCUGGGUCUGUGCAGACUCAGACCAUAGUCUUCAGGACCUGACGUGUCCCGUGUGCCUUUUUAAUGACAACUGCAUCUUAUCGAGCGAUCACGUUUUCAUGAAAAGGUUUUGGCGAAAGCUGGAAGAUGAGUGAUCUGUUUGUUGUUAACACAGAUCACCCUGCCUGAACGUGACAGAGGUAUCGUUUGUCAUGGUUUCAGGUUGGAGGGGCACAUGGGACCCUGAGGUCACAAAAAACCGGUGGACCACACCGUGGAGACUCUCCUCCUGGACUGGUGGAUACUUGCUUAAAGUUCAGAAUUCAAGGGGCAGUGUGAGGUGGGAUGACACUCUCCACCUGAGAUCCAGGUACAUUUUGAAGUUUUUAGGCUGGAGAGAAUAAAAAGCAGCAAGCCAAAAAGAACUUGCCAGAGUUCUGGAACGUUGGCGGGGGUGGCAGGAGCCGGAGGCUUCCCUUGCACCCGGCUGGGCUCAGUCUGCUGCUGCUGGGUUGGGGAGGGGAAGCACUCGGAAGGUUUGUGAUGCUGACACAGGGUCUUUUAUGUGCCUGUCCAGGCUCCUUCCCACCCCCUCAGCGCCAGAGGGGGACAGACCAUCACAGGUGUAGCUCAUACCUUUUAGGAGCUUAGAGCUACCACCUCCCACCACCUACUGUGGCCCCGGUCCUAAUUCUUGAUUUCUCCCAGAGCUGACUUCAUGCAGAGAAGGCCUCAGGCAGCUUCAGAGUUCCCCAUCCACCUGGGGCCCAGCAGGGAAAGAGGCAUUACCCUGGGCUUCACCGCAGGGCUGAGUUGAAGGCCUCUGUGCUCCAUCCCCUGCCUUUGGGGUCUUGACCCCGUCAAGUCUGUUUGGGACUGGGCACUUCUGCAUGGAGGGGAAGAAGGACUCCAAGAGGGGCUUCAAAAGCACCAUGUGCUGGAUCCUCCACUCCAGGCAGGGGCUGGGCAGGUCCGUCAUGGCUCUAGGGGCCCUGCUGAAUGUGGCAGAGGACCCUUCCAAUGAAGGCCCCGAAUCCCCAGCAGUGGGGGUAGAGUGAGUCCUCAGUGAGUCCUCUGCUGCUUCAAUUCUUGGCGCCAAAACCAAAGCAAAGCCACUGACACCAGGUGCUGUGCCACCAGCAGCAGACGAAAAUCAGAUGAGAGAACGAGCCGGUCCAAAGGCCCCACCUGACGGUGCCAGUAUUCAUCAGGCAAUGUCAGCGCACCCCACCAAGCCACCCUGCCCAAUCCUGGCUCCUUGAGCAGCGAGCAGCGAGCAGUGGAAGGCCAGAGUCGUGCACCCGAGGAGCACCCUCCCGACCUCAGCCCAGGCGCUCAUAGGAGGCGGAGGGAGCACCCAGGUCUGCGCAGUUCUAACUGCAACUUCAGGUGUCACUCAUUCCCUUAGGAACAGGCCUUCUUGGAGUCAAGGGUGAGGCCACAGGUGACCGAGCAGUCACAUGCUUCUUAGUGUCUGCUGGCUUCCAAGAUCAUGGCACCUGUUGGAGAAGCAGCUGGGCCUCGUCCGCUGUGCUUGUUACCGUCAGGGAUACAGAGCUGCCCUGGGGAGUGGAGGUGGCCUCAGCUUCCUAGUGGACCUAGGUCCUGCAGGACGUGUCCCCUCUGGCAGGGAGCAACUUGUCUUGUCAGAGCUCAGGUCAGCUCUGUCCAGGGAGGGAGCCUGGCCAGGGGUGGUACAGCCUGCUGGCACAAGGCUGCAUCCAGCGCUGCUUCAGGAUUGUGGUUCGGAAGACCAGAUGCUGCUGACACUGGGAGCAGAGGAGGCUGCUCACUCCUGGGCAGCUGCUGGGGAAGCUCCAGAGGGCACUGUGCAGGCGCCUGGUGCUUCGGGGCCCCCGUCUGGGCUCCCAAGUGGACCUGUGCACGCACCUGCACCACAGCCUCUAGACACACAGAAGAGGUGGGACCCGGGAAGGCCGUCUGCAGGGCGGCCAUACACGUGCCUUUUGGAAUCCUCAGGUGUGGAUGUUGUUUGUUAAGAACAACGCUGCAGACUGCUGAACGGCGGCUAAGCAGAGUGCCCCGGCAGUCUGCAGUGUGGGAGCAGGAGGGCUCCUCCCCGGCAGCAGGGAGCACACAAAGAGCUCCACGGGGCCACGGGGAGAGAGGCAGGUUCCACGUGGGGACUGAGAAGCUGGGAGCCCUGCACUCGUGCCAGGAGGGGCUGAGGGUGCACUGGGAGGGGGUAGGCGGGACUGAGCUGUGGCCAGACCCUGCCCGGUGCUGCCUCUGGAAGCACCUGUUGGCUCUCUUGGCGUCUGCCAAGGGCAAGCUUCCAUUUUGCAAACAUUCUGAAUCUGAGGACAGAAAACCAUGAAUAAUGCCAAAUGUAGGUGACAGCCACGCUGGGCGUGGCACUGGGGGAGCAGCUGGUGGACGGAAAGGAAGCCAGGGCCCAGUGCCCACCUGCCGUCCUCUGAGAGCCACCCAAGCCUUGGACACAGCCUGGCCGGGGGUCCCAGAGGCAUAUGGCCCGUGACCUUCAGCCUUGGGGCCUGUGCAGGUUGAGGAGAGGCGGGAUUUGGCAGAAAGUGUCUUUCUUAUUUGGACCUUUUGAGUCAAAAAAGAAAACAAGGUGGUGACUCAGAGAGAAUGCCACUCACGAGGCAGAUGCUGGGUCGCACAGGGCGCCCCUGCCGCUCUGGGACACGGAGCCCUGUCCCGAUGCCAUCAGCAUUCCCUGCACGUGCCCGGCCGCGGCUGCCCGUCUCUGUCCCUCAAGAGCACACACAAAGCCUUCUGCACUCUGCCGUCAGCCUUCCUGAGGCCGUGGCAACCUCAGCAAGCCGGGAGGGGCUCCCAGGAGGGCCCCCGUGGGUCCCGGUACCUGCUCCAGCCAGCUGGGCACACGGUGCUCCUUUCUGGGCAAAGAAAUGCCCCAGACAGCAGGGGUGGGGGUAGGGCCUGUGGCUGGGCUGAGGCCCUGAUGGGGAGGGACCCCAGGGGGCCUCCCUGGGGCCUGGGCUUUCUCCCCAGAGGACUGACGUCACUGGAUUAAAUGAUCUGACAUUUCCACACGCCUGCAGCUCAUCAGUACGAACAGCACUGAGCCAGCCAGCGCAGAAGGACCUGGGCAGGCAGCGAGACCCAGGCAGCCAGAGGCCGUGGGCCUCUGCCCACAGAGUCUCCCCCUGCCAGGACGGAGCACGUGGAGGGCUGCCCUUAACUGGCUGGCACUCCUCAACCAACUCUCCUGACCGGGCCUCCUUCUUGAAAGGGGAUCGGCCAUGCUUGGCUGCACCCAGGCCAUGGCCUGGGGGUCCAGUACUCACCAUGAGCCCUGCAGAGUUACCCAGGCAGGAGUGCCAGAGGGGGCCGAGAUGUGGCGGGGAAGGUUAUGUGGCGCCCUUCUCCCUGCCAGCCUCCAUGGCUGUCCAGAAGGUCAAGAUCCCACAGCCACGGGCGGAGCUUCUGGACAAGGACGCCUCAGGGUGCCAAGGUGGCUGUGACGGGGUGGGCGGGGGUCUGCAGGCUGCACCCAUCUGUGAAGACAGCAUAUGGUCAGUGGCCCUAGAGGAGGGUCCUCCCUGGUCUGCGGCUGGCAGACCCCUGGUCGGUGCCCAGGCUCAGGCAGGGAGCAGUGGCUCUCCUGGAAGUUUGCCCCCUCUGGACUCCUCAGCAGCCAGCCUGUUGGAGUUGCUGGCUCAGGCUCUGUCUGGGGCAUGAAGGGAUCUGGGUGACAACCUGGUUCAUGAGCCUUGGGGACUUCAAGGGGAAGAAGGGAAGUGCCUUCAGCCUGCUACUGCCCUCUUGGGCAGCAUUCCCGUCCUUAUUUAAACAUCAGUCUUGGCUCACCAUCCAAUACAAGAACCAAACUGCAUCGUUUCAGGCUGCACAAAGCCAAAUAAACAUGUCUGUCAGUUUAAAUCAAGAGAAUCAAAUAAACCUGAAUGAAUCUCCCGGCACACAGCCAGACCCAGCAGCCGCCGCCUGGUGUGGCUGGACAGGGCUGGAGCCCUCCCACAGCCACUCUCUCUGCCAAGAGGCUGGGGCUCAUCGAGCUCCAUGCCUCCGCUCACCCAAAGUUAUCCAGAACCUGCUUCUCCAGUGGCGGGAGGCACCUCUCCCCCAGUUGGCAUGUUUGCCCAAGAAAUGGUCCUGAUGAGUGGACCCUGCUGCCAGCAGCUCAUCCUUCGCCUUUGCCGCGUGUCCCCUGCCUCCCUGCAGGAGGCCCCCGCCCACCACUCAGACCCCAGGAGCAGCACUCACUUCUCACCUAUUUUGGCAGAGACAGCUGGAGGGGUGCUGGUCUCGUGCUCCCCUGUGCAGGUGCGGAGUGGCGGGUUCUCAGCACCAGGGAACAGAUUUCCAUCACCAGUGGCCUGGAGCUCGCAAGUGCAGUUAUCAACAGAUUGCAGGGCUGCAGUCCGCCCGGAGCUGUGGCCAGGCACAGCGGUGACGGCGCUCUGCACCGGGAGAGGAUGAGUCAGAGCCAGGAAGAGCAGGCAUUCACCGUGUCUCAGCGGGCGGCUUCCAGGGCUCAGGUGGGGGGCGCCAGCCGCCUGUGCCUGCCUGUCUUCCGCGCGGCGGCGGGCAGGGACCAGGGACCGGCCAGGAAGCAGGAGCCGUAACCAUGGGGACUGGGGGAGGCGCGGAUGGCGGCGCGGUGGCCGGCUCCUGCUGCAGGGUGGAAUGGUUCUUCCCAGCUAGGCGGCCAGCCACCCGCCCGUCACACUGCAGAGCCGAUUUAAAGAGACAACCGCCCAGGGUUUGCUGCUCCCUCCAGCAGGUUCAGACAGCCCAUGUCAGAGCCCAUCCUGGAAGGAGGACCAGACAGUGGCACUCCGUUUAUAAGGGAAAUACCUGUCAUUCAGGACUCCAAGAACAGAAACGUGAACCAGGAAACUGACUUUGGAGGAAUUUUCGUGGUCUUUGUAUUAAAAUAUCCUUAAAUCCAGAUAUGCUAAGACUGAGGUGAAGGCGAGCCAUCCCAGCGUGAGUCAGCAGGCUGCUCCUCCUGUGGACGGCCUGGUCGGGCAGAAGGUGCCCCCCUCGCCCCGGGGGCGCCUCCCUCUCCUGCAGUCUGGGUGGCGGAGCCGGGCCUGUGGAGGAAGGUGCCUGGGGAGCAUGGUGGGCCCCACUGCCACCCCUGGGCAGGCCACCGCUGCUGAGCUGCCCGGGAGGGUUACAAGGUUAGUUCUCCUGGGGGACACCUGGGGCAAAGCCCAGCCAAUGUGACUGAGCCACGCCCACUGGGGCCCAUCUCCUCAGCUUUACUUCCCUGGACUCAGGCCCUGGUGCCUGCUCCAGAGCAUCCAGGCCCCUGCUGCCCUGGAUUUUGAGGGCCCCCAAACGGGAACCCCUGUGGAGGUGGUCCUGAAGACGCAGGAGGGCAGAACUGGACACAGGGCACCCAGGCUCCUGCCUUGUGGGUCCGGCCGGGAGCAUCCGGUGGGGUGCUGCUGGCUGUCCUCUCUCCUGCUCCCCCCAGCCCCUGGAUGCUGCGACGUGCCCUGGACCCCAGCUGAGGGAGGUGAGGCCCUGGUGGGCUUCAUCUGCCUACAGCCCCCCAGGAGUCCUGGAGACCCCAGAUGUCCUGACUUCUCAGGUGGCUCCCCCAGGGCUGGGUGAUCUGGACAAACGGGCAGAGAGGGACCCUGGGCCCUGAGGGCUGCUUGACACCCGUGCCCCACAGGCUCCAGAGACAGACCUGCUGUGCAGUGCCAGGACUGCUGGAGUGGCCAGGGGCCGGCUGAAGAAGCUGGCCCUCAGGGGGCGCCUGGCCCUGAGCGCAGCAGGCCAGGGUUCCUCCACCUGAGGUUUCGGGAUGCUACCCCCAGGUGACAUGUGCAGGGCCAGCCCACCUCAAGGCUCUGCUGGGUGGACUCAGAGCUGAGCACAGAGCACUAGGGUCUGCAUGUGUCCCACCACGGUGCCCACGAUUCCAGUGUCUGCCACAAGGAAAUUUCUCCACCAGGUGUCACAGAGGCACACGGCCUCCUCUCUUCACUGGCCAGAUGAGGAAGGUGAAAGGACCGGACCAGGCCAGGAAAACGGCAGACCAAGAGUGGGAGGGGAGCCCCUGGGUGCAAGGCAGCCACUCUGCCUGUGGUGGGGUCCUCACUCCAGGCGGGCUCAUGCACACAUUUUCUGAGGUGCUUCCUGGGUCUGCACCUGACACCUGCAGAGCAGCAGAGCAGGGGUGAAUUGCUGCCCACGCUGGGCACAGCCACUGGCUGGAGAGGCUCAGUGCGGGGAGACGCAGGAAAUCUUGGGCACGAGGUGAGCUGCUGUCCACUGUGGGACUCCUUCUUCCUCUGCCAGCAGCUCUAGUCUUCAGGCCGGUCCAUUGGCCAUUGCAAGGCCACCCACCUGGUCAUCCAGGAUAAUCCCUUUACCCAUAGGAUAUGGCCAGUGGAUUUUCUGUAGAAUCCCUUCUCAGCAACACCUGGAUCUGUGUUUGGAGGAAAAAUGGGGGACACAGCCACAGACCACCUCUCUGUAAGGGCCAGACCACAGCUCCUCGGGCUUCUCUGGAGGAACGUUCUGCUCGCUCUGCACACUGUCUGCCCCACCAUGGCAGGAGUGGGAGCCGCCUAGCCUGCAGAGCUUCCCUGGACCUUCUGCCCAGAGCUGGUGGGACAGGGCCGCCACGGACACACGCAGACCCUAGUCCUUCUGGGGACGUUUGCAGUUGACGUACUGCUGGGGACAGACUUCACCCAGCUCAAAGCUUUCUCCAGGAGGCAGACAGGGCUGUCUCUGCCUGCCUCCUGGAAAGGUCAGUGUACUGGACAUCUCGUGAGAUUGACCAGCAGGUCUCACUAGCAGGACACUGGCCUCGACAGACCUGGCCUCCUCAGCAAUUCCGAGUGUCUGUCUGGCUGAUGGGAAGGUCGUUGGCAGUCAUAGAGUGGGCUGCUGGAAGUUGGCUGCCCCUGCCCAGGGUGCUGGUGGGUCCAGCAUGCUCGCUGCUGGGGGUCCUGUCUUGUUAGGGAUGGGAACCCAGCUGGGGCCAAGCCACCCCCUGCUGAGCAAGAGCAGGCCAGGCUACCCUGCCACAGCUGAGGGGCCAGGGCCAGGGCCCACGGAGACCAUGCUUCCUUCUGCACCUGGUGGCCUCCGAAUCUGCAGGCUAUUCAUGGACUCCAGGAAACUGUCUGGCCAUGAAGCUGGCCUGGAGAUGGGCUAACCCUCUACUAAAGGGGUGCAGGCCCAUCAGACCGAUGGCUCAGGGGACUUCUGGCAGUGACUGAGCAUCUUCCCACCCGGGACGGGCCAAGGCGCUGAGGAUGGCAACUGGCACUUGUGAGAACACGCCCCUGGAGGAAGGAUGGCUGCAGCCUGCAGGUCGCCCAGGCCCUGGGCUUCUUCCCGAGGCUGCAGUCGGACUGAUGGCCACCAGCCAUUUGGAGGAGACUGAGAAACAAACCAGGAGCCGCUUGAACGUGGAGAUGGUGGCCUGCAGGGCUUGUGCCUGCCUGGAGGGUGUGGGGCCAUGGCCAGCUUGCCCGUGAGCCUCACUGCUCUCUGGGCGGAAGGAAAGCCCUCUCUGGUUGCCAUGGCAACCCGCGUCUCCCCACGGCACCCAUCUGAACCUGUGCCGACCAUUUCUAACAGACUCAAGCCAACAGACGCAUGUUUACCCUGAGGGGAGGCUGAGCUCAAGGACCAGAUAAUAAAAUUAAUAAGCUUAAA